rnacentral:rRNA from 1 species
UCACCAAGCCUUUGACCGGUACGGGCCGUGAGAGCGGGAGCCCGGAGAUGGGCACUGAGACAAGGGCCCAGGCCCUAUGGGGCGCAGCAGUUGCGAAACCUCCGCAAUGCGCGAAAGCGUGACGGGGUUACCCCAAGUGCCAUCCGCUGAGGACGGCUUUUCUUUGGUGUAAUGAGCCAAAGGAAUAAGGGGAGGGCAAGACUGGUGUCAGCCGCCGCGGUAAUACCAGCUCCCCGAGUGGUAGGGACAAUUAUUGGGCUUAAAGCGUCCGUAGCCGGUCUGACAAGUCUUUUGUUAAAUCCAGCGACCUAAUCGUUGGGCUGCGGGAGAUACUUUCAGGCUAGGGGACGGGAGAGGCCGAUGGUAUUCUUGGGGUAGGGGUGAAAUCCUAUAAUCCCAGGAGGACCACCAGUGGCGAAGGCGAUCGGCUAGAACGCGCUCGACGGUGAUGGACGAAAGCUGGGGGAGCGAACCGGAUUAGAUACCCGGGUAGUCCCAGCUGUAAACGAUGCGAGCUAGGUGUUGGGGUGGUUACGAACCGCUUCAGUGCCGUAGGGAAACUGUUAAGCUCGCCGUCUGGGAAGUACGGUCGCAAGGCUGAAACUUAAAGGAAUUGGCGGGGGAGCACAAGGGCGAAUCGCGCCGCUAUG